rnacentral:lncRNA from 1 species
CAGAAGGAGGAGGAGGGGAGGAACAAACAGGUAUCAACAAGUCAGUGUCAAAGAAGGAAGGCUCAAAAAGAGGAACUGAGGGAAAGGAAGAAGGAGCAGGAGAUGAAACAUUCUUAAAAGGAAAAUAGGUUUCAUGAAAUAUAACAUCCCUGGAGACAAAGUAUUUCUUUGAAGUAAGGUCAUAAAGCGUAUAACCCUUUUUUGGCAAAAGGAUACCCAAUGAAGACACAGGAAAGGGCUAUAGGUUUCAAUUUGUCCCUUUGAGGAAUUGAAAACAGUAGCAUAGGCAAGGCACCCAAAUGCUCUCAAAUGAGAGUAGGUUGGUGCCUUUCCA